GACGAACCACACGAACGUUAUUCGGAAUCACUGGGCUUAAAGGGUGCGUAGGCGGCGCGGAAAGUAGGGUGUGAAAUCCCUCGGCUCAACCGAGGAAUAGCGCCCUAAACUACCGUGCUCGACGGGAGAUAGGAGGUGAGCGGAACUUAGGGUGGAGCGGUGAAAUGCGUUGAUAUCCUAAGGAACACCGGUGGCGAAAGCGGCUACACUGGAUCUCUUCUGACGCUGAGGCACGAAAGCUAGGGUAGCGAACGGG
rnacentral:rRNA from 1 species